AGACAACAUCAGAAUGUCCCU
rnacentral:miRNA from 1 species